rnacentral:siRNA from 1 species
UAGAUUCUCAGGUGUUCUUUAG